AAAUCAAACUAAAUUUGUGUGCAUCAAUCUUGGUUGUUUGUGCUUCUUUUGUUUUGAAGUUAUUCAUGAAAGUUUAAAGGUCAAAAUGUCGCCCGUCCCUCCAACCCAAAUCUAACAAAACCGGUGUAAAACAUUUUUGCAGCAAAUAUUUUUCUUUGUGUUUCUAUCAUUUUAAAGAUAAUAAUGUUACCAGAGGUCAUAAAAGGUCAACCUGACCCCCCCCCCCACACACACACACACACACACCUUCUUCAAAUAAAACUAAAUUGGUGUCAAUCAACUCUGCUAUAUUUGUGCAGCAAAACUUUUGGUUUGUGCCACAGCACAAAUAUUUGACACAAACACUAACGGGUGAUGUGGGGCGGCUGGUUGACCUUUAAACUUUGAUUAAUAUCUUCAAAACAAAAGCAGCACAAACAAAAAUGUUAACAGUGCAAACGCAGCAGAGCUGAUGGUGAACGACUUUGUUUGAUUUCAUAAAAGUGGGGGGCCUGGCUGACCUUUCAUGACCUCUGGAAACAUUUAUUAAUAUCUUUAAAAUCUUAGCGGCACAAAUGAAACUUUUUGCAGCACAAACGUAGCACAGCUUGUGUUUAUGAGGUCAUCGUUUCAGCACAUUGUCCACAUUGAUGGACACGCUUCGACGGAGACCUACUGUCUCAGGUCAAGGAGGUCCAGAGGAACCUAAACGCCUCCUGAUCCGACCUGCAGCUUUUCCAUGCAUGUUGGAAUAUUUUCAGCAUUUCGUGACAAACAUUUCGUCUUUAUGAGCUGUAAAGAUUCUUUAUAGGUGACGAAUAAGGAAGCAGUUACAGAGACAACAGAAAUCCACCUAUAAAGACGCCUGGCAGCUUUGGAGCAAUUCAAGGCAACCUUUGAUCAGCUGACCUGUAAAUACACUGUGUUUUUCCUCACCAACACUUCCUCCUGCUCCGCUCACCUUAAGGCUUCAGACACGAACGCUUGGAAACUGUAAACACCCAGCAGCCUGCAGCAUGGAGGCCUGGUUCUGCGUCGUCCUCACGUUGGUUGUUCCUGCACCCAACUCUGCAACAACCACACUUGGACCUACUACAGCUUGGUCUACAACUACAGCUGCACCACCUCUGGAGGCCACCACUGAUGCAGCUGCCACCAUGUCGACUCACCAUACGACCAAGUCAUCCACCAUCACUGACACAACAACUGCAGCAACAGAGAGAAUCACACCAGAGACCGAAGCUCCUGAUACUACUAUUACUACUACUCUGAUUACUGGCGUUCCCACUACUAUUACUGCUGCUCCUA